rnacentral:rRNA from 1 species
UGAGGAAUAUUGGGCAAUGCCCGCAAGGGUGACCCAGCAACGCCGCGUGGAGGAUGAAUGUCGUAAGAUUGUAAACUCCUGUUAGAGGGGAAGAAUAGUACCGGUUGGACCGGUAUAUGACUGUACCCUCAGAGAAAGCCCCGGCUAACUACGUGCCAGCAGCCGCGGUAAUACGUAGGGGGCAAGCGUUGUCCGGAUUUACUGGGUGUAAAGGGCGCGCAGGCGGGAUAAAAAGUCAGUGGUGAAAUCCUACAGCUUAACUGUAGAACUGCCUGUGAUACUUUUAUUCUUGAGUUCGGGAGAGAGAGACCGAGUUCCAGGUGUAGUGGUGAAAUACGUAGAUAUCUGGAAGAACGCCAGUUGCGAAGGCGGUCUCUUGGUCCGACACUGACGCUGAGGCGCGAAAGCGUGGGGAGCAAACA